rnacentral:rRNA from 1 species
GUCUACGGCCAUACCACCCUGAACGCGCCCGAUCUCGUCUGAUCUCGGAAGCUAAGCAGGGUCGGGCCUGGUUAGUACUUGGAUGGGAGAUCAAGUACCAGUUCUCUCUUCUUGGACCCUGGAAGCUCUGAGCC